rnacentral:rRNA from 1 species
GACGAACGCUGGCGGCGUGCUUAACACAUGCAAGUCGAACGGAGAGGCCCUGCUUUUGUGGGGUGCUCGAGUGGCGAACGGGUGAGUAACACGUGAGUAACCUGCCCUUGACUUUGGGAUAACUUCAGGAAACUGGGGCUAAUACCGGAUAGGAGCUCCUGCUGCAUGGUGGGGGUUGGAAAGUUUCGGCGGUUGGGGAUGGACUCGCGGCUUAUCAGCUUGUUGGUGGGGUAGUGGCUUACCAAGGCUUUGACGGGUAGCCGGCCUGAGAGGGUGACCGGCCACAUUGGGACUGAGAUACGGCCCAGACUCCUACGGGAGGCAGCAGUGGGGAAUAUUGCACAAUGGGCGGAAGCCUGAUGCAGCAACGCCGCGUGCGGGAUGACGGCCCUCGGGUUGUAAACCGCUUUCGCCUGUGACGAAGCGUGAGUGACGGUAAUGGGUAAAGAAGCACCGGCUAACUACGUG